UGGGGAAUAUUGCACAAUGGGCGCAAGCCUGAUGCAGCAACGCCGCGUGAACGAUGAAGGUCUUCGGAUCGUAAAGUUCUGUUGCAGGGGAAGAUAAUGACGGUACCCUGUGAGGAAGCCCCGGCUAACUACGUGCCAGCAGCCGCGGUAAUACGCAGGGGGCUAGCGUUAUCCGGAUUUACUGGGCGUAAAGGGUGCGUAGGUGGUCUUUCAAGUCGGUGGUUAAAGGCUACGGCUCAACCGUAGUUAGCCUCCGAAACUGGAAGACUUGAGUGCAGGAGAGGAAAGCGGGAUUCCCAGGGUAGCGGUGAAAUGCGUAGAUAUUGGGAGGAACACCAGUAGCGAAGACGGCUGUCUGGACUGCAACUGACACUGAGGCACGAAAGCGUGGGUAGCAAACAGG
rnacentral:rRNA from 1 species